GGAGGUGGACAAGUUUGCUAAAGGAUGUGCCUUACUGCUGCGUUAGGGGCAGGGACCAGUGGGAUCUCCCUCAAGGGCAUGGCUGUUGAUGGCACUAAGGGGAAGGAGGCAGAAAUUUGGCAUUGUUUAUUUCUACAUGGGUUUAUUUUUCAGUUCAGAAACUUUUGUAGUUUCCCCCUGAUACCCACUCAAUCUGUGUUACUUCUUGCUAUUAAGCAAUGUCAGUCAUGGGGUCUAAGACCAUCUUAUUUCUUGCCAACGUAGUGCUAUUGCUGUCUGAAUUCUCUAAAGGAAUUAACACUUCAGGCAUCAAAUCAUGAAAUCAUUGUAAUAGGCAAACAUUAUCUGCACUCAGGUCACAUCUCCAAAGGUCUAACAUUGAUUUUAAAUUCUGCAGCCCUGCUCAGGCCCUGGCAGGCUUAGAGCUGCCAAAUCUUCUGUCAGCUUCCUUCAGAGACACACAUGGCUGCUGUGGGGGGGCUGGACAGAAGAAGGAGAACAGGGAGAAACUACUUACUGCAUAAUGAAGGUAGCCACUCUGCGUCCAGAGGCUAGCCAUUCACAACACUUUGUCUGCACCACAGAUAAUUUGAGUUCUCUUAUUUGAAAGCCAAAUUGUCAUCUUCAUUUCUGUAGAUGCAGAAAACAUCCUAAAGAAGCAUUUGAGUCUUUUGUGUAGCCCAGAAACAAAUACUGGAUCCGUGAAACUCUGUGGUACAAAAGGAACAGUUCUGCUUAGGCAGAACAAGUAGCAGCAACUCCAACUGACUCAAAAGCAGAAGUUUCCCCAGUGCUUCCCAGUUCAUUUUAGUGCUGACCUGUAAGUAUCCUUUGCUGUAGAGAGAAUGCCUUUGAAAAGCCGUGUAGACUAUUCCUUGAGUGUCUUUGCAACAGAG